AAAUGAUUGCACACUUUUUCAAUAUUUGAUGGUACAGCAUCGUAACUUCUUUGGAGAGCUGAUUUGGGGAGGGGUACUUCGGCACCAAAAAAAUAGAGCCAACAGUUGAUUAUUCAGGUGACGGAACACCUCUGGGAAGCUGCAGACGCCGGAGAGAAUACGCAAAUUCAUCAUUCAUGACGUUUCCCUCUGAAAGGCUAGAGUGAAGUUGUCAAUGAAAAUACCAGCAACUGGUGAAGACCAUUUUUAAAAUAUCACACUGCAGAAGAAAAUUCCAAAUAUUGCAAGGAGAAAUCCAAUUAUCUGACAGAGAAUGCUUUCUGCUUCUUCAAGGAAUGACUCUGGCCUACAAGAAGUCAAAAGGCAGGCAGCAGGAAGAAAAAAAAAUAUCAAGAAGCUCGGAUGAUCCAGACAUUGAAUAUUCAACUACAAGUAACUGAGAGAUGGCUGAACUCAGAAAAGAGCCUUCCAGGCCGGACGUGGCUAGCCCAUCUGGAUCUUCGAGCUGAAACGGGGCUGACGGUGACAACUCCAAUCCUUGGCAGCUUUAGGCAGGAUGGGCACUCAUCAUUGUGUAAGGAGGGCAAGCUGGAGCUGAAAGUCCGUGCAAGCCACAGUGGAGCCACAGUCA